UACGUAGGGUGCGAGCGUUGUCCGGAAUUAUUGGGCGUAAAGAGCUUGUAGGCGGUUUGUCGCGUCUGCUGUGAAAACUCGGAGCUUAACUCCGGGCGUGCGGGCGAUACGGGCAGACUUGAGUACUACAGGGGAGACUGGGGUUCCUGGUGUAGCGGUGAAAUGCGCAGAUAUCAGGAGGAACACCGGUGGCGAAGGCGGGUCUCUGGGUAGUAACUGACGCUGAGGAGCGAAAGCAUGGGGUAGCGAACAGGAUUAGAUACCCCCGUAGUCCCU
rnacentral:rRNA from 1 species